CAGGUGCAGGAGGAGAGAGAACGACAGGAGCAGGAGGAGAAACAAAGACAGGAGAGGACUGAGAGGAGAAGGAGGAGGGAAGAAAGAGAGAAAUGGGAGCGGGAGGAGAAAGAGAGGCGGAGGAAGGAGAAGAGUGGUGGAGAAAGACAGGAGACGACAGGAAGAAGUAAAUCUGAGUGGACCUUUGUCUCAAACCUGAAAAUGUGGCACCUUGAACACAAGAAAGAGAAAAUCGUCAAGGCCCUUAUCAGGACCUGUGAUAAGGAGGAGUCCAUUGAGGCUGGUGAUGAUACUCCUGAAAUGAAGGACAUUCGAGUGUGGAGGCAAAUGGCAAAGAAGAGGAAGCUGCUGAAGAAAAGGCAGACAAUAGAGGACAGAAUAAAACGCAAGAAGGAGAAGCAGAGACAAAGACAAAAGUGGACAAAGAAAGAGAGAGAAAGAAGGGAUGGGAAAGGAGCACGUAAGUGGAAGAAGAAAGGAGAGGAGGAAGACACAGAAAGUGAGGAGAGUGAAGAGAAGAGGACACAGAAAGAUCUGGAUCUGUUCCAAAGAAAAGCCUCAUGUCAAACCUGAAAACGUGGUACCUGAAACAACAGAAGGAGAAAAUCGUCAAGGCCAUUAGCAAGACCCGUGACAAGGAGGUGGCCAUUGAUGUUGGUGAUGAUACUCAUGAGAUGAAAGAGAUAAGAGUAUGGAGACAACAGGCCAAGAGGAAGAUGCUGCUGAAGAAACAGCAAGAACUGGAGGAAAAAAUACAACACAGGUUACAUGUCAUCACAAACAGAAGAGCAAAGAGUGUGGAUGGAAACAAUAAUGUAUCUUAGGCAGCACAAUUUAAUAUAUUUAUUUUUAUAAUUUAAUUUGAUAUAAUUUAAUACUAGAUUAACUUAAUCAAAUGUAAAUAGAAAUUAUAUUUUUAUAAUUUAAUUUAACUUUUAUAUAUUUAUAUUUUAUUAUUAGUCAUAUUUAAUAUUUAGGAUAGAGUAAUUUAUUUUUUAACUAGUUGUAGAAAUAAUAUAUAGUUAAUAAUAAUAUAUAGUUCUAGAAAUAAUAUAGUUAGAGAAGCAAAAGUUAUUUAAUAUAAAAUAAAGUUAUUGUCCUCCGAUGAGGGGGGGUGGUGGUGGGUCAAAAUUAAAAUAUUUAUUAAGUAUUUUAUUAUUAGUAAUAUUUAAUAUAAUUUAGAAUAAAGCUAUUUAUUUUUUAACUAGUUGUAGAAAUAAUAUAUAGUUAAUAAUAAUAUAUAGUUCUAGAAAUAAUAUAAUUAGAGAAGCAAAAUUAAUUUCAUAUAGAAUAAAGUUAUUGUCCUCCGAUGAGGGGGGGUGGUGGUGGGUCAAAAUAAAAUUUAAACAAAAAGAAAAAGAAAAGAGAACCAUGAAAAACACUUAAGCACUAUAAAAUAUUAUAUAAUUGGAUCUAACUAAAUGUAAUAAAAUAUUUUAUUAGUAGUAAUAUUUAAUAUAAUUUUGAAUAAAGUCAUUAUUUUUUAAAAAAGUUGUAGAAAUAAUAUAUAAUUAAUAAUAUAUAGUUGUAAAAAUAAUAUAGUUAGAGAAGCAAAAUUAAUUUAAUAUAGAAUAAAGUUAUUGUCCUCCGAUGAGGGGGGGUGGUGGCGGGUCAAAAUUAAAAAAAGAAAUGAGAAACAUGAAAAACACUUAAGCACUAUAAAAUAAUUGGAUCUAACUAAAUGUAAUAAAAUAUUUUAUUAGUAGUAAUAUUUAAUAUAAUUUAGGAUAAAGUCAUUUAUUUUUUAACUAGUUGUAGAAAGAAUAUAGAAAAAUUCAUUUAAUAUAGAAUAAAGUUAUUGUCCUCCGAUGAGGGGGGGUGGUGGCGGGUCAAAAUUAAAAUAUUUAUUAACUAUUUUAAUAUUAGUAAUAUUUAAUAUAAUUUAGGAUAAAGCAAUUUAUUUUUAACUAGUUGUAGAAAUAAUAUAUAGUUAAUAAUUAUAGUUCUAGAAAGAAUAUUAGAGAAGCAAAAUUAACUUCAUAUAGAAUAAAGUUAUUGUCCUCCGAUGAGGGGGGGUGGUGGUGGGUCAAAAUAAAAUUUAAACAAAAAGAAAAAGAAAAGAGAAACAUGAAAAACACUUAAGCACUAUAAAAUAUAAUUGGAUCUAACUAAAUGUAAUAAAAUAUUUUAUUAUUUGUAAUAUUUAAUAUAAUUUAGGAUAAAGUCAUUUAUUUUUUAAGUAGUUGUAGAAAGAAUAUAGCAAAAUUCAUUUAAUAUAGAAUAAAGUUAUU